rnacentral:lncRNA from 1 species
AUGGAACACUAUUUAUAGCAGUAGAUCAGUUAUUGAUGAUACUCCAUCAGUUCAAGAUACUACUUAUUUCAAUAUAGUUUACACUUAGAAGUGAUGAGGACUCCAAGUGGUCAGAUGAGCACAGGUUUAAAAAAAGGUUCAUGGAGCCUUGAAGAAGACCAGAAGUUGGUUUCUUAUAUCAAUAGAUAUGGCAUCUGGAACUGGUCUCAUAUGCCUAGAUUUGCUGAAUAGGAGCCCAGUAAAAGACACUUGCAUUUUUGCUUUUGUGGUUUAUACUUGCUCAGAUUAAGUGCAGGUGCUAUACGUAAUAGGCUGGUCUCUCCUUAGCAUCAUAGAGUCUCACAAGCUUUGGGAUGCAUUUAUCUGUUGAACAAUUUUCUCCUUUUUAUUCCGAUCCGCCUGUGGAUCUAUUUCGACUACUUGUGAUACUUAAAUAUUACAUUUGAUGGUUGAAAUAAAAUCUAUUUCUU